GGAGGGUGCAAGCGUUAAUCGGAAUUACUGGGCGUAAAGCGCACGCAGGCGGUUGGAUAAGUUAGAUGUGAAAGCCCCGGGCUCAACCUGGGAAUUGCAUUUAAAACUGUCCAGCUAGAGUCUUGUAGAGGGGGGUAGAAUUCCAGGUGUAGCGGUGAAAUGCGUAGAGAUCUGGAGGAAUACCGGUGGCGAAGGCGGCCCCCUGGACAAAGACUGACGCUCAGGUGCGAAAGCGUGGGGAGCAAACAGGAUUAGAUACCCUGGUAGUCCACGCCGUAAACGAUGUCGAUUUGGAGGCUGUGUCCUUGAGACGUGGCUUCCGGAGCUWACGCGUUAAAUCGACCGCCUGGGGAGAACGGCCGCAAGGUUA
rnacentral:rRNA from 1 species